UAGGUGUGAUAACCUAUGUUCUCUUUUC
rnacentral:sRNA from 1 species